UUCCGUAGGUGACCUGCGGAGGAUCAUUACCGAGUUGAUUCGGGCUCCGUCCCGAUCCUCCCACCCUUUGUAUACCUACCUCUGUUGCUUUGGCGGGCCGCGGUCUUCCGCGGCCGCCCCCCGAUUUUGGGGGGUGGCUAGUGCCCGCCAGAGGACUAUCAAACUCCAGUCAGUAAACGUUGCAGUCUGAAAAAAAUAUUAAAUAAACUAAAACUUUCAACAACGGAUCUCUUGGUUCUGGCAUCGAUGAAGAACGCAGCGAAAUGCGAUAAGUAAUGUGAAUUGCAGAAUUCAGUGAAUCAUCGAAUCUUUGAACGCACAUUGCGCCCCUUGGUAUUCCGGGGGGCAUGCCUGUUCGAGCGUCAUUUCAACCCUCAAGCUCUGCUUGGUAUUGGGCACCGUCCUUUGCGGGCGCGCCUCAAAGACCUCGGCGGUGGCGUCUUGCCUCAAGCGUAGUAGAAUACACCUCGCUUCGGAGCGUAAGGCGUCGCCCGCCGGACGAACCUUCUGAACUUUUCUCAAGGUUGACCUCGGAUCAGGUAGGGAUACCUGCUGAACUGAAGCAUAU
rnacentral:rRNA from 1 species